rnacentral:rRNA from 1 species
CCUACGGGUGGCAGCAGUGGGGAAUAUUGCACAAUGGGGGUAACCCUGAUGCAGCGACGCCGCGUGAGUGAAGAAGUAUCUCUGUAUGUAAAGCUCUAUCAGCAGGGAAGAAGCAAGACGGUACCUGACCAAGAAGCCCCGGCUAACUACGUGCCAGCAGCCGCGGCAAUACGUAGGGGGCAAGCGUUAUCCGGAUUUACUGGGUGUAAAGGGAGCGUAGACGGUAUGGCAAGUCUGUAGUGAAAGCCCAGGGCUUAACCCUGGGACUGCUUUGGAAACUGUUAGACUAGAGUGCUGGAGAGGUAAGUGGAAUGCCUGGUGUAGCGGUGAAAUGCAUAGAUAUUAGGAGGAACACCAGUGGCGAAGGCAGCUUACUAAACUGCCACUGACAUUGAUGCUCGAAAGUGUGGGUAUCAAACAGGAUUAGAUACCCCAGUAGUC